CCCCUAGAUGUUCUGGGCCGCACGCGCGCUACACUGAACAGUUCAACAAGUCUUAACCUUGGCCGAUAGGUCUGGGUAAUCUUUGAACGCCGUUCGUGAUUGGGAUAGACCUUUGCAAUUAUGGGUCUUCAACGAGGAAUUCCUAGUAAACGCAAGUCAUCAGCUUGCAUUGAUUACGUCCCUGCCCUUUGUACACACCGCCCGUCGCUCCUACCGAUUGAAUGGUCCGGUGAAGCGUUCGGACCGUGGCCUUUGGACGGUUCGCCGUCUGUUGGCUGCGGGAAGUUCGUUAAACCUUAUCAUUUAGAGGAAGGAGAAGUCGUAACA
rnacentral:rRNA from 1 species